UGCUAGAUACAGAUCUGUAAGCCUUAGAUAAAUAGUCCACUUUAAUCCACAAAUGUUUAUCACUAUCUUUUGUGUGCUAUUAAAGGGCAAAUAAGAAAUGUCCUGACCCCUGAUAAACCAACAAAUGAGGCAUAAUCUAGAAUAGUUACAGUGAGGCAAUAGCAGAGACACAGAGCAUAAAUUAGGUGUCUCACACAGUCCUAAGUGCUUUGUUCAUAUACUUCUUUAAACUUCACAAUAACCUUAUGAGGCAGAUCCCGUUUUUACAGAUGAGAAAAGUGAGACAGGGAGAGGUUAAAUAACUUACUCAAGGUUACACAGCUACUAAAUGUCAGAGCUGGGAAUUCAAACGGAAGGGGUCUGGCUUCCAAGUUUAGCUCUUAGUAUUAUGACUCUGACUUGCCAAGUACUAUACUACCACAUAAUUGUAGAAAAGAAAGUUUCAAAUAGCUCUGGCCUAGGGGACUAGAGGAAGGUGUCACUGUGGAUGUGACAUUUGAGCUAGGUCUUAAGGAGUAACUGGGAAUUAGUCAGAUGGAGAAAGAAGAAAGGCAUUUUCAGCCUCAGGACCUAGUGUCCCCAAAGGCACAGAGUCUUGACCCUGAAUUGUGGUUUCAGAGAAUCCUGGUGUGAAUAGAGAGCACCACGGAUGAUAAAGGGCUGGGAGAUAAAGCUGAAAAGUUCAUGGCAAUUACCUGGGAAGUAAAAUUCAAAACCACCGUGUUAUUUAGCUCCUACCUGCAAAUGUGUAAUAUUCAUGUCCAUCUUUCCAAAGAGUGGUUGUUUGAGCCAGGAAUGCCUAAGGUAGUCUCAAAGAUAGGGUGCAAUGGACUCUUUGAUGCGCCACUAAGAACCCUUUUCAGGGGUGAAGGACUUAACUCUCUCAGAUGCUGGAAGUGCUUCCAGCAGACAGCCCUCUGCAGUCAGCCCUCUAUGGGGAUUGCAUCAGCCAAAGAAAGCUGCCUCACCCAAGGUCACAAUCUUUUUCCCAGAUGCCUGCAUGCAAUGACAGGUCAAUGCUGGGUUAUAAAGGCUGGCUUCUCACCCCAAUUCAGGACAACAUAGAAGGAUCAUGCUUUAGGGGUACAUUUAGAGUUGGCUGCUGACUUGGUUGAGACUGCAAACACAGCUUGACUUCUCUCUCUGCUCAAUCCUUCUUUCAUCUCUCCUCUUCUGUAGGAAAUGAUCUCAAGAGGCCUCAUAGUAAUUCUCUUGGGCUCUCAUCUCCAUCUCAGAGGCUGCCUCCUGGGGAAUCCAACCAGUGACAACUAGGACUGGGAAUCUUUGAGAAAGCAGAUGCUGGGAUGGAAUUGCAGAGCCCUUGGCUGGCAAUUCCAUCACUGGGGUAGGUAGUGCCCAGGUAUCCUCUGGUACAAGGUAGCUGUGCUAUUGUUUGCCAGUAUUGAACUAAGAUGUUAUCCUGGUGGCCAGUGGAAUAGAAAUCACUAAUUGGUGUGGUACAGUAGGAGUUUAAGAAAUGGGUGAGAAAGUGUAACUAUGAGGUUGGUGGAAUUGGUUGGCUAUACCUGAAUUCAGCUGACACUCUGGAAAAAACAGGACAAAAGAGCCAAGAGUGAUUGAGUGAUUGACAUAUAAAAGCUAAGAAUGAAAACUAGAGACAGCCUCUUUGGCAGCAUAAAGAGGCUCUCAUCUUUUGGAGGGAGGGCAGAGAAAGCUGAGGACUAGAGGACUUAAUCAUGACAGUAGUGGAGCUCAAAAGAAGGUUAUGCUCCUAAACAACGCAGAACUGUUAUGCCAAGGUUAAGGCCCUGGAUAGAGGGGGAAGGAGGGCUGUGACCUUGGCACAUGGACAGAACAUCUGGAUUGAUGUGCAUGAGAAUCAUGAAUUCUCAGAUUCCCCUGAACCCUCUGAGCUUGCACAUGGGGCCCACUCUUCUUAUUUAAGGGUAGCCCUUCCUCUUGCUACAAGGUCAAUAGCUAGGAUUCAGUCAAAAUAUAACCCAGCCAAGGACAUAUGGGGCCUAAUAGGGGAGGAAAAGGACUAGACCCCAAAGAGCAGGUGAUUGGGCAGGGCCCGAUGGAGGUAUAGCUGUCUGGAUUCUGUGAAGGCUUGAGGAAGGGUUGUGGAAUGUAAAAUUGGAUAAAAGAGAGUUUAUUCAGGAUAUAGGAUUAACACUCUGGCAAGGCCAUCGGGAGAUGGUACAAACACACUAUUAAGAUCCCUCCUAGAAAAAUCAAUGAAGCACACUAAGUGAGAUAGAUGUACCAGAGCUGCCAUGAUGGGGGGAAGGCAUUUCAAAGCUCGGGGGAAAUGGGCAUGGUUCAGUGGGUAUGCUGCCUAAAGCCAGGAAACCACCAGAGGCCUUUCUUCUGCAGGAACGAGGAUGGAGCAUCAUUUGCCAAGCGACAGGGAUAUGAGGCUGAGAAGGGCACCAGCAUCCCUCAUUUCAGUGGUAGCUGUCCCCUGCAGAUAGGACCUGACACUAGCAGAGGCCAUCCCCAGGAGCAGUGGGGGUGAUAGGACCCCCAGGUAGACACAGUUAUCAUAAUGAGAGGCAAAGUCACAAAGGUGGACAGAGGGGUCCAUCACAGCAUAUUACGGACACUGUUCAAAUAUAAUAUCUCUAAGGGCAAAAUUGAUGGGCAGCCGGGGAAGAUCCUCCUCAGUCCGCAAAGUCAAAAGAAAUCAAAGAUGGAUGAUCAGGGAGUUUUCUCUGUGGCGCAGUGGAAACAAAUCCGACUAGUAUCCGUGAGGAUGGGGAUCCGAUCCCUGGCCUUGCUCAGUGGGUUAAGGAUCCGGCAUUGCCGUGAGCUGUGGUGUAGGGUGCAGACAGGACUCAGAUCUGCUGUGGCUGUGGCUGUGGCACAGGCCAGCAGCUACUGCCCUGACUUGACCCCUAGCCUGGGAACUUCCAUAUGCCACAGGGGCAGGGGAAAAAAAGAAAAAGAUGGAUGAUCAGGAAGCUAAGCUAAUCAUCUCAAUAAAAAUGUUUCUAAACCUGAGCUAGAUUUUGAAUCUGGAACCCAGUGGCUAAAGAAGAGGCUAGCUUCCCAGAAAGAGAAGCCUACAUGACCACAGCAAGGGAACACAGUCAUGACACCCCUGUCCUUCAUUCCCUAAAGAAAUCUGUAGCCAAAUACAAGGGAGAAGAAACACUGCUAUCCAGAGACCCAAAGCUUUGCCUUAGCUCCCUGUUAGCAGGUAGCCACCUGGGGGCCAGGUAAUGAGUGGAGUCCUGGCCCGUUUCUGACCACUGGUGGGCCCACUGGACCAUGAACCCAUUUAGUGGUCAUUGCCCCAGUUCCCAAAUGCAACUGAAAUAGAUAUACUUGAUAUCUGGCUGACUUCUGCAUUGGCCCAUGUGGUCAGAGCUAUUGAAAAGUCCAGGGAAAGGCCAAGGAGAAGUCUCUGAAACUGCCCCUCCCCCAGCCCAAAUAGUAAAUCGAAAGCAAUAUUGCAUCCUGGGGAAAUGGCAGAAGUUAGGGAGGGCAAGGAUGUUUGAAUUCUCUGUAUAUUUCCUACUGGGAUCAAUAUACUUCCCAGUGAGGUCACUUUAGGAACUGCACAUCAGUUCCUUUCCAAGGCUCCAAACUGAACAAUUAUUUCUAGUGAUGAUUUCGCUCUAACCAUUAUAACCCAGUUCCAUCAUGAUGAAAUGAUUUGGAAAAACCACAAAAGCUUUUAAAACAGAAUUUGGCCUCUGUAUGCUAUCUCUCUGGGUACUCUUAAAAAACACAUUCAAUUAUAGAGUUCUAUUUAAUUUUUUAAAAAGAUUGUAUAUACAUAUAUACAAUAUAUAUAUGACUGAGUCACUGCUUUACAGCAGAAAUUGGCACAACACUGUAAAUCAAUUAUACUUUAAAAA
rnacentral:lncRNA from 1 species